CUGCUGCUGGAGUGCUGGAACGGUGCAGCCCUGCCCUAAGGCACUGGCAUGCUUCUCUCUCCUGCUGACCAGCUGCAGACUCCACUGUUGUCAUUUGGUACACUGGUCAUUAAAGCUGGGGUCAGUCUGAACUUGCAGCUCACCUGCUGUGAGCAGUUUUUGUACUCCUAGGCUCAGAUGAUUCAGAUGCUGCACAGUCUGUCCUCGAAGUUCUCUGGCUGUGAAUUCAAAGUAAUAGUUUCUGUUUGUGAUGUCACCAAGGGGCCAUGGAAGAGCCCUCUGCUUCCUGCUGUGGACACUUUGAUCCGCAACCAAAGUUUAGCUUAUGCUUCAUCCAGCAGCUAGAAAAGGCUUAGCUGGAGCAGAGGCAGAAGGAGAAUGCAGGUGUGCCUGCAUGGGAAUGCCAGAGCGGUCAGAGGGCUGGGAUUUAUCCAAGUGAACAGUCUGUUCUGGCUGAGGCAUUCUGCUCGUGAACGAACCUGCGAGGCCAAGUAUGAAGCCCCGACUUCAGUCUGCCCCAGCCCCUGCAGCAUGUCCUGCAAGUACUGCCAGUGAUGGAUGAGGCUCCUCUGUCAGCAUUCGGCUAGCAGCGGGCCAAACUCACCCCGUGGCACCCAUCCAAUUCAGCUCAGUUUACAGUGCCAAGUUUACAGUCAGGACAGUGUUCAGCAUUACCAUAUAGCACAAGCUGUUUUGCGAAAGGCGGUGGAACAACCUAUGGAGAGUAGAAGAUUUGCUGUACCCUGAAGAUAUUACAACACAGACUAUAGUGAGUUGCUGUAUUAAUUUUACAAACAUGACUGGAGGCUAAGCAACUAUUACCAUGAAAUUGCUCCAAAGACUCCCUGGAUGAUUUAGCUGGAGAUUUGGUAGGUACAGAUACCUAUGGCAGUAGAACCACAGAAAUUUAAAAGAAACUAAAAACGAGCACAUUUUGCUCGGUGAGCCACACUGGAUCAAACACAAACCAGUUAAUACCAUGGCAGAGUUACCAGUGCUUUUACAGGCGAGUCUUAGCAGUUUAAUUAUUUAUCACUAAUGUCAUAUUGCAGCAUAUUUAUACAAUAUUUAAAAGAAAACCUGAGCCUACCAUUUAUUCAUGAGAAGAUAUUCUGUAGACAGAGAGUUCAUUAGUACAUCGCAAAGUUAUUAACAAGUCAAUUUUAUCUUACUCAACUCCUGCUCCAUCCCCAAGCUAACAGUGCAAAGAAAUGCUCUCUCCAUUUUUUUUACUUCUAAGCCUAAAACACUGUUUAGAUUCUCAGGUGGUUCUCAGAGUCUAUACAGUAACCUCCUGUUCUCAAAAUCUUCCAAGGUAGCUCCUUAUCCCAUAAAAACAUAAAUCUCUUUACCCAGGAGAAG